ACAACAAACCAUCAUAAGGAACAGAAAAAUGUAACUAUUACUGCUGACAAUAGCUAUAUUGCAAAUAGUACAUCAUAUAUAAAUAAUAAUAGUGAUAAUAGUAAUGGUAAUAGUAAGAGUAAUAGUAAGGGUAAUAGUAAUAAUAAUAAAGGUGAAAAAGUAAGUUCUAUUAUAUAUGGUAAUACGUAUGGUAAUAUGUACAACUGCUGUAGUGAUAAACUCAAAACAAAUCAAAAAUUAUCGCGUGAUAGUGAAAUAAUUUUUUAUUCAAAUAACAAAAACACGAGCAAUAAAAAUCCCGAAAUAAAUAAAAACAUAACAGAAUCAAAAAACAAUGAAAAUAAUUAUUACAUAAAUAACGAAUUGAAUGAAAAUGUGUUGGAACAAGGAGCUAACGAUAUAAAUGUUUCUUUUAAUAAAAUGGGUAAUGUUGAAUAUAGAUGUGAGUACAGUAGUGAUAUUAACAAUGGGGAGAGUUGUCCAUCCCAAUUUCAAUGCGAACGUGAGUGUGAGCGUGAACAUGAGCGUAAAUAUGACCACGGUCAUAAUAACAGUAGUGAAAAUAAUGCAAUGAACGAAACUAAUGCAACAUUUAUAAAUACCUAUUAUUAUAAAGAUAUAUCGAAAAAAACGAUUUGCUACUUUUUUGAUAAUAACAUACAAGAUUUGUAUUUCAAAUUAAAUUACGAAUUUAUAUUUAAUGAUAAAAAAGAAGAGAAAAUAAUAUAUAAAAGAAUAUGUAAAACAGAAGAACAUCUUGGUAUUUUUAUUUUAUUAAAUUGUAAAUGGUUGUCUGAUUCAUUUGUUAAUAAUAUUAAUCAAAUAGAGACGAAAUAUGCUGAUAUUUAUUCUUUUGAAAAUUAUGCAAAUACUCGUGCAGAAGUAUUAAAUUGGAAAUAUAAAAAAAACUUUAUUAAAGAUUGUUCAGAUAUAGCACGCAAAUUUCCCAAGGUCGUUGGAGUACAUUACGAAUCAUGUACAAACUCAUGGGUCGUUAACUGCUCACAUAAUAAAAAACGACAUGAAAAAAAAUUUUUAGUAAAAACAUUUGGGUUUCUCCAGGCUAGGAAAUUGGCAAUCCAGCAUAGGGAAAAGUGGUUACAAUUAAAAUCUAUCAACCAAAAU
rnacentral:lncRNA from 1 species